AGGGAGAACCAUAGGAGACUCUUAGUGGAGCAGAGUAAGCAUGGGUUGCUCCUGGAGACAAAAAGGACUCCGGAAGAAGGGGACCUGACUGGAGGAGCAGGGCAGGUUGGAGGAGGAGGAGCCGGCAAUCCUUGCAUCAGCCUCUAGGCGGAGUUCAACAUUCUUCUCUUGGAGGAAGAGCUCAAGAACCAGUGGAAUUCUCACAGCCACCAUACAAAGGAUAAUUCUCAUUACAAUUUUUUUCUUCUUGGUAAUGAAAAGGAAAAUAAAUGCAUAUCUAUUAAACUAUAAGAUGUUUGUUUGUGUGCCCCUGAAAUUAUCGUGGGG
rnacentral:lncRNA from 1 species